CCUACGGGAGGCUGCAGUGGGGAAUAUUGGGCAAUGGGGGAAACCCUGACCCAGCGACGCCGCGUGAAGGACGAAGGCUUUCGGGUUGUAAACUUCUUUGGGGAGGGACGAAAUUGACGGUACCUCCAGAACAAGCCACGGCUAACUACGUGCCAGCAGCCGCGGUAAUACGUAGGUGGCAAGCGUUAUCCGGAUUUACUGGGUGUAAAGGGCGCGCAGGCGGUUCUGAAAGUCAGAUGUGAAAGAUCAAGGCUUAACUUUGACAGGUCAUCUGAAACUUUGGGACUUGAGUAUCAGAGGGGAAAGUGGAAUUCCUGGUGGAGCGGUAAAAUGCGCAGAGAUCAGGAGGAACACCGGUGGCGAAGGCGACUUUCUGGCUGACAACUGACGCUGAGGCGCGAAAGCGUGGGGAGCAAACAGGAUUAGAUACCCCUGUAGUC
rnacentral:rRNA from 1 species